CUGCUAUAUAAACCACACUGUUACCUGUUGUGUUCUGCCUCUUAUUCUUAACCUCUGUACAUGAAAUUAGGGUUUAGCAUUCUUUGCCUCUUUUCAACUUUUACAACCCGAAAUCAUCAUAGGCUUCUUUAUCUGGUCGGUUAUAUUAUUUCAAAGUCUUCAGCCUUCUUAGAGACAUUUGCUUGCACGUUGUCCUUUGUGUUAGUCAAUCUUUAACUGAAGACGAGAUGUGCGUUCUCCUCGCUAUCCAAUGUGACAAUUUUGAUGCCGCAAUUGGACGUCGGGGAACAAAAUCCCCUUCUUUGCACCCAGAUAGAGAUUUCUAGUGUUUACAAUGAAAUGAAACGAUUUUCCUAUUUGCUAGAGCUUUUAUUUGAGAUUUAUGUAAUUGUGUUUUCUCAUACAUAGAA